CCUACGGGAGGCUGCAGUGGGGAAUAUUGGACAAUGGGGGCAACCCUGAUCCAGCCAUGCCGCGUGUGUGAAGAAGGCCCUCGGGUUGUAAAGCACUUUCAGUGAGGAAGAACGCCUGGUGGUUAAUACCCAUCAGGAAAGACAUCACUCACAGAAGAAGCACCGGCUAACUCCGUGCCAGCAGCCGCGGUAAUACGGAGGGUGCGAGCGUUAAUCGGAAUUACUGGGCGUAAAGCGCGCGUAGGUGGCUUGAUAAGCCGGUUGUGAAAGCCCCGGGCUCAACCUGGGAACGGCAUCCGGAACUGUCAAGCUAGAGUGCAGGAGAGGAAGGUAGAAGUCCCGGUGUAGCGGUGAAAUGCGUAGAGAUCGGGAGGAAUACCAGUGGCGAAGGCGGCCUUCUGGACUGACACUGACACUGAGGUGCGAAAGCGUGGGUAGCAAACAGGAUUAGAUACCCUAGUAGUC
rnacentral:rRNA from 1 species